rnacentral:rRNA from 1 species
AUUGAACGCUAGCGGGAUGCUUUACACAUGCAAGUCGAACGGCAGCGCGGACUUCGGUCUGGCGGCGAGUGGCGAACGGGUGAGUAAUGUAUCGGAACGUGCCCAGUAGCGGGGGAUAACUACGCGAAAGCGUAGCUAAUACCGCAUACGCCCUGCGGGGGAAAGCAGGGGAUCGUAAGACCUUGCACUAUUGGAGCGGCCGAUAUCGGAUUAGCUAGUUGGUGAGGUAACGGCUCACCAAGGCGACGAUCCGUAGCUGGUUUGAGAGGACGACCAGCCACACUGGGACUGAGACACGGCCCAGACUCCUACGGGAGGCAGCAGUGGGGAAUUUUGGACAAUGGGGGCAACCUUGAUCCAGCCAUCCCGCGUGUGCGAUGAAGGCCUUCGGGUUGUAAAGCACUUUUGGCAGGAAAGAAACGUCGCGGGCUAAUACCCCGUGGAACUGACGGUACCUGCAGAAUAAGCACCGGCUAACUACGUG